AAGCUCUUGUGACGACUCAAGGGGGGAACUUCCCUCACUUUUUGAUGGGACACAGGCGUUACCUGUUAGGAGGGAAUGCAAAGACAAUAAAACCCGACAAACGGAAGUUGGUCUUAUCUUUUGACGACCCAAAUAUCAGAUGGAGUCGAUUCAAGCACCACAUGUUGGAAAUACUGCACCAUAGUGACAUAAGGGGCAUCGCAUUCAGGAAACCUAAUGAUUCCAUAUACACCUUCCCAAUGCCUGAUUGCAUGUGCCAACAAGAUG